CACAUACCCGACUACCUCUAGCCUGGCUUAACUAGAUUGUAAUGACGACGACUUGCAGAACCUGUUGCUGGGAAAGUGGGAGAGUACAAACAUACAAAAACAGAUAAUAUUUUAAGUGGUAAACGCAAUGUGCUCUAUCCGCAAACUCGCACAUUCCCGCACGGCGUAUGUAACCGUUUUUUUUUUUACGAGUCUGGUAUUCCAGUACGUUUCGCAAUUCUUUGUGAUGAUGACGAUAAAAGAAAAAAAAAAUAUACAGUAGAAAGAAAAAUGGCAGCCGUCCAAAUCGAAAGACACGGUUCAGGUAAAAUGGAAGACUAGAUCGAAACAGCCAAGCAGACAAAAGGCGAAAGACUGUGAUGCAUCGGCGCUCUUUCCCGCACUAUAACAACUCAUUUGUACCCGGCCUCGUUCAAGGCCUUGUAAACGGACAUUGUCCCACUAAUCAAUCUAUUUUUGAGAAUUACUCCGGCUUUAAACGCGCGAUCUCGUUAACAAGUUCCACUUUUGGACGAAAAAAUCGAUCGGAAAACCUGGUUAUCGUCGGGGGACAAAAAAAGAGCAUUCGAUAAUCCGAUUUACUUAGGAAUUUUUUGGUAUAGCGCGGGGAGAAUUUAUACCGAAAAUUAUACUUGUUAUAAAAGUGUAUUGUAUAUAAAAGCGAAUUUCCAACACAUUCUAUAAAUUAACACCUGCGUGUUUCUAACAGAACGAAGCGUUAAGCCCGUUUCUGAUCUGUAGUGUCCCUGGCAUGGUAAACACGCUCAGAAACUAGUUACCCAAUUCGUUCACGUGACUGGCGAGGCAACGUUCGAAAAAUAUCGAAUGACGGUUAAAAGAAUAGUUAUUCGAUAUAUCUCCAUCCACCUUCCGGGCCACUUAAGCACGAGGCAGCUGUACAUAAUUCCAAUUUCGAAACAGCGUCGAAUCGAUGCAGUAAGGAUAUUAAAACAUGAAUGACAUUCAAUAUCGCGUUUCGCACCGCAAUUUUCCAGCCAAGCAACGUCCCAGAUACUAGAUAAGUAUCGGGGGGUGCGCGAAAGUGACGAAUGCAUCAAAACUGGCAUGAGGACGACGACCUAAACUAUUCUUUCCGCCUGAGAGACUAUUAAAAAGGUCUCAAAAAUAGAACGAAAUAUAUUCCACCCCCUCUUUAUUACGUUUAUCCCCCUCCGUAAGCGAAGAGAAGAAUCUAAACUUAACCAUUUUUAUCGUCAUAAACGCCUUUAUAGAUCCGCAAUGCGAAAUGGCUGGCGCUUUUCCUUCCAUCCACCAAAUGUUCAACACCCCCGUUUUCGACGAAUGGUACCGCUCCUGCCCUGCA
rnacentral:lncRNA from 1 species